rnacentral:rRNA from 1 species
UACAGAGGGUGCGAGCGUUAUUCAUAGUUAUUGGGCGUAAAGAGCUCGUAGGCGGUCUGUCGCGUCGGCUGUGAAAACCCGGAGCUCAACUCCGGGCCUGCAGUCGAUACGGGCAGACUGGAGUUCGGCAGGGGAGACUGGAAUUCCUGGUGUAGCGGUGAAAUGCGCAGAUAUCAGGAGGAACACCGGUGGCGAAGGCGGGUCUCUGGGCCGAUACUGACGCUGAGGAGCGAAAGCGUGGGGAGCGAACAGG